AUUUAACAUAUGGAAUAUUAGUGAGGAUUUACCGAGGGAUCAGCUACGGAUCUCGCAAAGAUUUAACGAUGCACCAAUAUUCCUCGCUAAUCACUCGAAAAAUGAAGGCGCUUAGCUAGGGUUCAACGAGGGAUAAAAACAUUGUGCCACCUGACCCGUUUAGCGAGAGAACGACGACGGAAACAAAAUUUGGGAUACACGCGUUUUGUUUUUUCUAUCGCCAAUCGCUCGCGCUGAAACUGGCACAACCCAGUUCCAUCUUCACGAUGGUGGUGUAACUUUCCUUCCCUCCAGCUUUAUCACUCUUGACUCUGGAGAUGCAGACCUUAUUAUGCUCGCUUUGGCUACACAUGAACUCCAUUUUUCCAUUUUGCGAGAGAAGAUAAGUCAAAAACAAGUCACUCAUCUGUGUUGUUUCAAGCUGGAAAUUUCGAAACCAAUGUGAUGAAAUGUAGAGGAUGGUUCAAACAGGCAGUUGACUAUAUAUUAACAUUUUACUUUCUUUUAAUUCCUUGUUAAUACAGGCUAAUCCGUUUUUCCUGUGCUUCUGCUAGUUUGACCUGAACCGUGAUAAAGUUGAUAUAAGUCAACAGAUGAACAGCCUUGAUAUUACAGCUGUUGGAAAGCCAAAGUGGUUUGUGAGGAAGCCGCAUCAGUUUCUUCAUGUUUGGAUACUGAGAUAAUAUCUUAACCUUGAUUUGAGAUCCACAAAUGUGCCUGAAAAAUUUGAAUAUGAUAUUGAACGACUGAUUGACGAUUUCAUAUUCAUAUGCUUUUUCGGUGGAAAUGAUUUUCUUCCGCAUAUGCCAACCUUGGAAAUUCAUGAGGGUGGUAUUAAUUUUUUGAUUCAUGUGUACAAGCAAGAGUUCAAGAACCUUGGAGGGUAUCUUGUGAAUAUGGAAAAGGUAAUUAGUGGUGGAAUUAAUGUAAAUAAAAACUUUAGUUUCUCAUCCAUGACCCUAGAAGAGUCUAUUUUUGAUCUAUAAGACUCAUUCUUGACGAUGUAUAUAGCAUUAGUUUCUAUGGUUUUGAAUUGUUGAAAAAUGGAAAAAGGUGUAUGAUAAGAAAGGAGGGUACAUCAAACUAAAAAGGGUUGAAAAGUUCAUCCUUGCAGUGGGCGCAUACGAAGAUCAGAUUUUCAAGAAGAGAUCAGCAAUCCGUGAAAAAAGCAAACUUCGACGAUUUCUUUAUUUUUAAUUUCCUUACAAAUUCAUAAAUAUACUUUUGCAAUUAAUCUUUUGUCUAGAGUGGUAAUAGAGAAGAGGAGUUGUUUCCUGUGAUAAGUACUCAUAAUCAGAAGGGUUCGUCUGUUGGUUCUGAUGUUUGUUCACCAUACACCGAAAAAUUACCUGAUCAUGAUGUGCAAGUAUGAUAUGGCCGAGAAUACAAAAGCUGCUCAGAUGAUCGAGAAGACAAAAGCAUUGAAUGAACAAUUAAAAUCUUACUAUCGUGAGAUAUCGGAUGUUUUCAGAAACGGUCUUCUUUCAGACAUGGUGAAACUGGGUACUCCUGG